CAGUCGCCACGGGAAGACGGAGGGUGCUAGCGUUGUUCGGAAUCACUGGGCGUAAAGGGCGCGUAGGCGGCCUGUUAAGUCGGAUGUGAAAGCCCGGGGCUCAACCCCGGAACUGCAUCCGAGACUGGCAGGCUUGAGACCGGGAGAGGAGGGUGGAAUAUCCAGUGUAGAGGUGAAAUUCGUAGAUAUUGGAUGGAACACCGGUGGCGAAAGCGGCUCUCUGGCCCGGAUCUGACGCUGAGGCGCGAAAGCGUGGGGAGCAAACAGGAUUAGAUACCCCUGUAGUCCCUGUCUCUUAUAU
rnacentral:rRNA from 1 species